rnacentral:lncRNA from 1 species
CCUCUAUCGGCCCACCAUCGGCCUCCAUCACUUCGUAAGCCAUGCUAACUUCUCUCACGUGUAACUUCUCCAUUUGGACUCUAUUUGGAUUGAUCUUGGACUCGUUGGACUCUAUUCGUCAUCGCGAACCUUGCUAUAAGCUUAGUGUAGAUCGAAUUUUGAGAUAUCAAAUUUUAACAAUCUCCAUCUCAACUCGAUAUUUGAUCUCUUCUUAACUCUGAGAGCUUCGGA